rnacentral:rRNA from 1 species
UACGUAGGGUGCGAGCGUUGUCCGGAAUUACUGGGCGUAAAGAGCUCGUAGGUGGUUUGUCGCGUUGUUCGUGAAAACUCACAGCUUAACUGUGGGCGUGCGGGCGAUACGGGCAGACUGGAGUACUGCAGGGGAGACUGGAAUUCCUGGUGUAGCGGUGGAAUGCGCAGAUAUCAGGAGGAACACCGGUGGCGAAGGCGGGUCUCUGGGCAGUAACUGACGCUGAGGCGCGAAAGCUAGGGGAGCAAACAGG